rnacentral:rRNA from 1 species
GACGAACGCUGGCGGCGUGCUUAACACAUGCAAGUCGAACGGAAAGGCCCUGCUUUUGUGGGGUGCUCGAGUGGCGAACGGGUGAGUAACACGUGAGUAACCUGCCCUUGACUUUGGGAUAACUUCAGGAAACUGGGGCUAAUACCGGAUAGGAGCUCCUGCUGCAUGGUGGGGGUUGGAAAGUUUCGGCGGUUGGGGAUGGACUCGCGGCUUAUUAGCUUGUUGGUGGGGUAGUGGCUUACCAAGGCUUUGACGGGUAGCCGGCCUGAGAGGGUGACCGGCCACAUUGGGACUGAGAUACGGCCCAGACUCCUACGGGAGGCAGCAGUGGGGAAUAUUGCACAAUGGGCGGAAGCCUGAUGCAGCAACGCCGCGUGCGGGAUGACGGCCUUCGGGUUGUAAACCGCUUUCGCUCAUGACGAAGCUUUGUGUGACGGUAGUGGGUAAAGAAGCACCGGCUAACUACGUG